UUUGUCUUAGUAUAAUAAUUAUAUUAGCUUUUCGUGCUAGAGAUAGUUGGGCUUAGACUAGACAAAA
rnacentral:tRNA from 1 species